UUUAAUUUAUUAUAUUAAAAAUAAUUAGGGAAGGAGGCAUUGUAGUCAAUGGUGCUGGUACAUUUUUGAAUGAGCGUGAUAGUGGAAUAAGUUUUGAGGAUUAACAGCUAUUUUUUGGAAAUAAAUAUGAUAUGUUCUCCUAGUAAGAGGUUGACUGCCUAAGAUGAAACUAUUAUCAAAAGGUAAUAAUAAUUUGGAUUCCUUUAUAAGUCCAGGCAUUUCAAAGUCCACUGGGAAUAGAAGUGUUGAAGAGGAGGUGAAUGAUGGUAGCAAAUGGCAAGAUGAUGACGCAGAUAGUAUUUUAACUCAGUUGCAGGUGGAUAUGGAUAAAAAUGAUCUCUUUUUUAAAAUAAUUAUGGAGCUUAAAUUAAUAUAUGGAUCAGUAUCAAAGCAAUUGAAUGACAUAAAAGGAACAUUGAACUCAUUUGGAGGUCUUAUUGAGGAGUAGAGAAAGAUUAGAUAAAGUGGAAAUUGUGUGAAAAUUUGAAUAAAGAAAUAUUGGAAUUGAAGUUAAAAAAUGAGCAUCUGUGUUAUCAAUAUAAUGAGUUGAUGAAUAUGAAUAAUCUUUCAAAUUUAAUUUUGGUUAAUUUUCCAGUGAGUUUUUGGGAUAAUGUGUUAAAUGAAGUUUAUAAAUUAAUUAAUGGAAUUUUGAAGGUUUCUGAAUGCCAGAAGUCUAAUAUUUUAAGAUGUAUGAUAUUGCAGGUUGAGAAAAUUUCUUUAAUUCAAGUGAUUUUUA
rnacentral:lncRNA from 1 species